GACAGAGGGUGCAAACGUUGCUCGGAUUUACUGGGCGUAAAGCGCAUGUAGGCGGGACGAUAAGUCGGGUGUGAAAUCCCUGGGCUCAACCUAGGAACUGCAUCCGAAACUGCCGUUCUGGAGUAGUGGAGAGGAAAGCGGAAUUCCGGGUGUAGAGGUGAAAUUCGUAGAUAUCCGGAGGAACACCAGUGGCGAAGGCGGCUUUCUGGACACUAACUGACGCUGAGAUGCGAAAGCGUGGGGAGCAAAC
rnacentral:rRNA from 1 species